CCUCAGCCCUCCGGGCCACGGGCCUCUCCGGGCGGGCGCCCAGGGUGGCGGCGCCUGCGGCCGAGCGCCGGGAGCAGCCAUAAGAACCUUAAGGAAAAGGGCAGAGGGAGAUUCUCCCUCUUCCCCCACAGUUUUGGCGACCACGAAGGGACCCUAACUGGCUGGCUAGUUGCCUUCUCUGGCUGGAAGAAGUGCCUUCUCCCUGGACUACUGCAGAUGAUGAGAUACGGGAACGCCUGACGAAAGCCGGCAAAAGAAAUGCUUCUUAUUAAAUACUUGAUUGCUUGCUUCCACAAUAUAGGCGUAACCUUGAGAGCCCACCUGCAUCACCACCUUCUAAAAUGAACUUAAUUGAACUGAUCUAUUAUCAGGACUAAGAAAUGUGUUCAGUGAGAUGAAACAGCCUACCAACUCAGCUUCUGGACUAUGAAACUUCUUUAAGUUUCAAAAGGACUGUGAAACUUCUAGUUUCAAAGGCGGGACUGUGGGAGAUCAAGAUUUGGCGAUCCUAAAAUAUAUCUCUUUACCUUUAUUGUUUU